rnacentral:misc_RNA from 1 species
AAGUCGUAACAAGGUUUCCGUAGGUGAACCUGCGGAAGGAUCAUUAGAGAAAAAAAAGAUGGACACAAGAGCAAGAGGAUACGAUAUAGGUUAUAAUAUAAAGAAAUAUAUAAACAACUUUUAGCAACGGAUCUCUAGGUUCUC